AUUGAACGCUGGCGGAAUGCUUUACACAUGCAAGUCGAACGGCAGCACGGACUUCGGUCUGGUGGCGAGUGGCGAACGGGUGAGUAAUGUAUCGGAACGUACCCAGUCGUGGGGGAUAACGUAGUGAAAAUUACGCUAAUACCGCAUACGAUCUAUGGAUGAAAGCGGGGGAUCGCAAGACCUCGCGCGAUUGGAGCGGCCGAUAUCAGAUUAGGUAGUUGGUGGGGUAAAGGCCCACCAAGCCAACGAUCUGUAGCUGGUCUGAGAGGACGACCAGCCACACUGGAACUGAGACACGGUCCAGACGCCUACGGGAGGCAGCAGUGGGGAAUUUUGGACAAUGGGCGAAAGCCUGAUCCAGCCAUUCCGCGUGCAGGAUAAAGGCCCUCGGGUUGUAAACUGCUUUUGUACAGAACGAAAAGGUUUCUACUAAUACUAGGAGCUCAUGACGGUACUGUAAGAAUAAGCACCGGCUAACUACGUGCCAGCCGCCGCGGUAA
rnacentral:rRNA from 1 species